rnacentral:rRNA from 1 species
CUUGCUCUUUCCGGAAUUGAGUGGCAAACGGGUGAGUAACACGUAAACAACCUGCCUUCAGGAUGGGGACAACAGACGGAAACGACUGCUAAUACCGCAUAAGAUUACAGUACCGCAUGAUACAGUGAUCAAAGGAGCAAUCCGCUGAAAGAUGGGCUCGCGUCCGAUUAGAUAGUUGGUGAGGUAACGGCUCACCAAGUCGACGAUCGGUAGCCGGACUGAGAGGUUGAACGGCCACAUUGGGACUGAGAUACGGCCCAGACUCC